GGAAUCUUGCACAAUGGGCGAAAGCCUGAUGCAGCGACGCCGCGUGGGUGAGGAAGUUCUUCGGAAUGUAAAGCCCUUUUACCGGGGACGAUUAAUGACGGUACCCGGUGAAUAAGCCCCGGCUAACUACGUGCCAGCAGCCGCGGUAAUACGUAGGGGGCGAGCGUUGUCCGGAUUUACUGGGCGUAAAGAGCGCGUAGGCGGAAGCUUAAGUGUGGCCUGAAAGCCCCCGGCUCAACCGGGGAGGGUGGCUGCAAACUGGGCUUCUAGAGGGGGAUAGAGGAAAGUGGAAUUCCGGGUGUAGCGGUGAAAUGCGUAGAGAUCCGGAGGAACACCAGUGGCGAAGGCGGCUUUCUGGGUCCGCCCUGACGCUGAGGCGCGAAAGCGUGGGGAGCGAAC
rnacentral:rRNA from 1 species